rnacentral:snRNA from 1 species
CUAGUGUUCGUAGGCUCCAUG